rnacentral:lncRNA from 1 species
CGCCUUGCAGUUUGAUCUCAGACUGCUGUGCUAGCAAUCAGCGAGAUUCCGUGGGUGUAGGACCCUCCGAGCCAGGUGUGGGAUAUAGUCUCGUGCUGCACCGUUUUUUAAGCCGGUCUGAAAAACGCAAUAUUAGGGUGGGAGUGACCCGAUUUUCCAGGUCAAGGCUGAAUCAACAUAUAUGCCCUAUCUUUGGACUGAAUUGAUUGGUUAACUGAAUAAUUUAGUCAAAACAAUUGUGAAUUUGAGACAUUUAUAUCACUCCUUUUUCCAACAUGAUGUUUUCUGCUUGGCUGAUUUGAAAUUUUGGAUGGGUGAGAAAAAUCUAUACUACUAUGACUGAAUGUUUAUUUAUAUAUUUAUUUAUUGAGCAUUAAUUUUUUAAAUUCUGACAAUACACAUGAUGUGAUGUAUACCUUCUUUAAAAAUAUUAAUUGUAUAUUAUUGUUACUAUCUGUGCACUGUUGUACAGCAGAUUGCUAGAACUUUUUCACCUUGUAUGACUGAAAUUUUCUACCAAUCAAACUGCAACUAAUUGCCCCCCUCCCAGCCCCUGGCAAGCACCAUUCUACCAUCUGCUUCAAUGAAUUUGACUACUUACUUAAGAUACUUCACAUAAGUGGAACUAUGCGGCAUUUGUCUUUUUGUGACGGGUUUAUUUCAGUUAGCAUAAUGUCCUCAAAAUCCAUGUUGCAGAAUUGUAUGUGACAGAAUUUUCUUAUUUUUUAAACCUGAAUAGCAUUUCACUGUGUGUACAUAAUAUUAAUACAUUUUCUUUAUUAAUUUAUCCAUUGAUGGACAUUCAGUUUGUUUCUACCUCUUCGCUAAUGUGAAUAAUGCUGCAAUAAACAUGGC